rnacentral:rRNA from 1 species
GACGAACGCUGGCGGCGUGCUUAACACAUGCAAGUCGAACGGAAAGGCCUGCUUUCCCUUGUGGAUUGCGGGUACUCGAGUGGCGAACGGGUGAGUAACACGUGAGUGAUCUGCCCCCAACUUGGGUAUAAGCCUGGGAAACUGGUUCUAAUUCCCGAUAGGCCUGCAGGGUGGUGCCUUUGGUGGAAAACGAUUUUCUAUUGGUUGGGGAUGAGCUCGCGGCCUAUCAGCUUGUUGGUGGGGUAAUGGCCUACCAAGGCGGCGACGGGUAGCCGGCCUGAGAGGGUGGACGGCCACAUUGGGACUGAGAUACGGCCCAGACUCCUACGGGAGGCAGCAGUGGGGAAUAUUGCACAAUGGGCGGAAGCCUGAUGCAGCGACGCCGCGUGGGGGAUGACGGCCUUCGGGUUGUAAACUCCUUUCGACCGCGAGGAAGCCACCUGGUUGGAAGGGUGGUGACGGUAGUGGUAGAAGAAGCACCGGCUAACUACGUG